CCAACCCACAACGAAUCAUCCACCUGCGGCUCCAUCCCCUCUCUCCUCCCUCCCCCGAUCCACAUCGCUCUUCCGGUUUUCGUUUGGAUUUGCUUCUUGUUCGUGCUCCCUUCGAUGGCUGAUGAGAGUUUUGCAGCGGUGAUGACAAAUUUGUGGACUAGAGUUUCUGACGCCGCCUCUUCAGCGGCAUCUGCAGACAACCCCUUGGCUGUCUGAGCUCCCAGAUCACACACCAUCGAUACGUCGGGGCCUUUCUACUGAAGGUAUCAUAGGCAUUUGUAUUUGGCGCUGGACAAGGAAAAUAGGAAUUGUCAUUUUGUUUACAUGAACUGUAGUCUGAUUUUGUUCCAUCUAUUUGUAUUGUAAUUUGCAAGGAUAUGAUUGGAAUUUAUAUCUGUUCAGAGUGUUCCAACAUUGUAUUGGUCAUUUGUUGAAAUUACAUAUAUUGGAAAACUUGUAAAUCCAGAUCUCUGCGGGAUACAGCUAUUGAGAGUUGGUUCUGAUA